rnacentral:rRNA from 1 species
GACGAACGCUGGCGGCGUGCCUAAUACAUGCAAGUAGAACGCUGAAGGAGGAGCUUGCUUCUCUGGAUGAGUUGCGAACGGGUGAGUAACGCGUAGGUAACCUGCCUGGUAGCGGGGGAUAACUAUUGGAAACGAUAGCUAAUACCGCAUAAGAGUAGAUGUCGCAUGACAUUUGCUUAAAAGGUGCAAUUGCAUCACUACCAGAUGGACCUGCGUUGUAUUAGCUAGUUGGUGAGGUAACGGCUCACCAAGGCAACGAUACAUAGCCGACCUGAGAGGGUGAUCGGCCACAACGGGACUGAGAAAAGGACCAGACUCCUAAGGGAGGCAGCAGUAGGGAAUCUUCGGCAAUGGACGGAAGGCUGACCGAGCAACGCCGCGUGAGGGAAGAAGGUUUUCGGAUCGUAAAGAUCUGUUGUAAGAGAAGAACGAGUGUGAGAGUGGAAAGUUCACACUGUGACGGUAUCUUACCAGAAAGGGACGGCUAACUACGUG